GACGAACGCUGGCGGCGUGCUUAACACAUGCAAGUCGAACGGAAAGGCCCUGCUUUUGUGGGGUGCUCGAGUGGCGAACGGGUGAGUAACACGUGAGUAACCUGCCCUUUACUUUGGGAUAACUUCAGGAAACUGGGGCUAAUACCGGAUAUGAGCUCCUGCUGCAUGGUGUGGGUGGGAAAGUUUCGGCGGUUGGGGAUGGACUCGCGGCUUAUCAGCUUGUUGGUGGGGUAGUGGCUUACCAAGGCUUUGACGGGUAGCCGGCCUGAGAGGGUGACCGGCCACAUUGGGACUGAGAUACGGCCCAGACUCCUACGGGAGGCAGCAGUGGGGAAUAUUGCACAAUGGGCGGAAGCCUGAUGCAGCAACGCCGCGUGCGGGAUGACGGCCUGCGGGUUGUAAACCGCUUUCGCCUGUGACGAAGCGUGAGUGACGGUAAUGGGUAAAGAAGCACCGGCUAACUACGUG
rnacentral:rRNA from 1 species